ACGUUGCUAUAAGUCUGGUGUCACAUGCAGACCAGACCAGAUACCAUUAAUCAGUGCCAAAGCCCCAUUGCCUGUGGAGAAGGUGAUGUUUGACCUCCUUGUACAGCUGCAGUUCGUGUAGUGAAGGUGCUUCCACAAUGUGUUUGGAGACAGGGCUCCAGUGCCUGCAUGAGGACUGCAACUCCCAAAUUCCGAGGCAGGGACCACACGUCUGUGGGGAAACCUGGCACUGCACAAGUACAGAAUGUGGAGUGCUAGAUGGUGAAGAUUUGCAGACUGAAAUCUCAAUAUCAUUUGCCGAUCGUGAUAAAGUUAACCAGCAUUUGAAGAACCAAAGAUGGAGAAUCACUCGGCCAAAA